rfam:Methanococcus maripaludis C7, complete genome.
UGGCUAGGCUGGGAAGUUAGGCGUUUCCUGUAACUCGAAAUCGCCUUUGCGAGAGCCGAAAACUUGAGGGCGGUUUUAAAUUCUGUCAUUCAUUCUCAAGUUUUGUGUAGACAUUUCGUCCUUUGGGGUAAGAUGGAGGAGGAACCUUUUUUGGAAGAAAAAGACAAACCUCCCUUAUCUUUCGAACCCCGUCAGGCCCGGAAGGGAGCAGCGGUAGA